rnacentral:rRNA from 1 species
ACGCUCGACACCUACUGGAGGCAGCAGUGGGGAAUAUUGCACAAUGGAGGAAACUCUGAUGCAGCGAUGCCGCGUGAGGGAAGAAGGUUUUCGGAUUGUAAACCUCUGUCUUUGGGGACGAUAAUGACGGUACCCAAGGAGGAAGCUCCGGCUAACUACGUGCCAGCACGCCGACGUAUCNGNGGCGGNGNGACGAG